rnacentral:rRNA from 2 species
CAAACAACUCUCAGCAACGGAUAUCUUGGCUCUUGCAACGAUGAAGAACGCAGCGAAAUGCGAUACGUAUUGUGAAUUGCAGAAUUCCGCGAAUCAUCGAGUCUUUGAACGCAAGUUGCGCCCGAGGCUUGUCCGAGGGCAUUUCCGCUAGAGCGUCACC